rnacentral:rRNA from 1 species
CCCUUAGAUGUCCGGGGCCGCACGCGCGCUACACUGAAGGAAUCAGCGUGGCUUUCUCCCUGACCCGAAAGGGUUGGGAAACCCGUUGAAUCUCCUUCGUGAUAGGGAUUGGGGCUUGAAAUUGUUCCCCAUGAACGAGGAAUUCCCAGUAAGCGCGAGUCAUAAGCUCGCGUUGAUUACGUCCCUGCCCUUUGUACACACCGCCCGUCGCUACUACCGAUUGAACGGUUUAGUGAGGGCCUCGGAUUGGUCUCGGCCAGCUCUUUACCGGGCGGCGCCGUUGGUCGAGAAGACGCUCGAACUUGAUCGUUUAGAGGAAGUAAAAGUCGUAACA